rnacentral:rRNA from 1 species
UACGAGGGGGGCAAGCGUUGUUCGGAAUUAUUGGGCGUAAAGGGAGCGUAGGCGGUUUUGUAAGUCGUGUGUGAAAUCUUCAGGCUCAACCUGAAGUCUGCACACGAAACUGCAGGGCUUGAGUAUGGGAGAGGUGAGUGGAAUUCCUGGUGUAGCGGUGAAAUGCGUAGAUAUCAGGAGGAACACCUGUGGCGAAAGCGGCUCACUGGACCAUUACUGACGCUGAGGCUCGAAAGCUAGGGGAGCAAACAGG